ACUCAAAUGAAUAGACGGGGGCCCGCACAAGCGGUGGAGCAUGUGGUUUAAUUCGACGCAACGCGAAGAACCUUACCAAGGCUUGACAUCCUCAGAAUCCUGUGGAAACACGGGAGUGCCCUUUUUGGGAGCUGAGAGACAGGUGGUGCAUGGUUGUCGUCAGCUCGUGUCGUGAGAUGUUGGGUUAAGUCCCGCAACGAGCGCAACCCCUAUAUUCAGUUGCCAGCACUUAGGGUGGGAACUCUGGAUAGACUGCCGGUGACAAACCGGAGGAAGGUGGGGAUGACGUCAAAUCAUCAUGCCCCUUAUGUCUUGGGCUACACACGUGCUACAAUGGACGGUACAGACGGCAGCGAAGCCGCAAGGUGAAGCAAAUCCGAGAAAGCCGUUCUCAGUUCGGAUUGCAGGCUGCAACUCGCCUGCAUGAAGUAGGAAUCGCUAGUAAUCGCAGGUCAGCACACUGCGGUGAAUACGUUCCCGGGCCUUGUACACACCGCCCGU
rnacentral:rRNA from 1 species